rnacentral:misc_RNA from 1 species
GGACUCACUCAACAACUUCAUAUUAUUAAUAUAUUCUUCAAAAACUUCCCUGAAACAUUCAGGUUUUUGGGGCCACAAUUUGAGGUUUCUUAUAGCUUCAGGAAACACAUUUAGAUACAAUCUGUCAGUCCAAUCAAGCUUUUGCUUAUCUGAAAGAACUGAAUCGUUUCCGUAUCCAUAAAUGUCAUCAACUGUUCUGGCAUAUUUAAGCUUCUCUUCAGCUGGAAGAGCAAAGAACUGUUUGCUAAUUUCAUGCACUUUGUCAAGAAAUGAAUCUGCUAGUCCGUGAUUUAUGACCUGGAUGCAGCCACAAAACUUGAGGCCUGAUUGAAGUUUGUUGAGCUCUUGUUUUCUGGCAGUGGAUGUGAGAAGUCUAAGGUCAACUACUGGCACAUUCAGCAUGGGACAAGAGCUAUUGAUUGACCCUUGUGUAUGAAUAUACUUUUCUGGAACUUGAUUUUCAUUUGCUAGUUCUUGUACUGACUUGAAAACUGUUUUU